AGUGUUCUAGAAUGGUAAUGAUAGAAAGUACAGAAAAUUUCCUUACCCUUUGUCAAAAAUUGCAUUUAAAAACAAUAUGUUCGAUAGGUUCAUAAUUAAUUAUAAACUGUGCUUUUAUCUAAAAUUACUCUGCAACAGUAUGGAAAUACCUAAGAGGCCUAAGAAUAAGGAAGAGCUCCUAUUUGUGACCCAGCUUUUUUGAGCUCCUGUCAGCUCUUGUUUGCACAUAGAGCAUUAAUUGUUUUUUAUGGAAUUUCAGUAAUUUUGAGUGAACCUCGUUUGCUUACAAUGAAUAAACAGGAAUUAGUAGGGGAUCUGUAAAUGAUGUGAUCUUCUCUUUUUUUUUGUAUUUUUGUAUGUCUUUGUUUUGGUAGGACCGGCUUAAUGUAUUUUUCCCACUUCUCUUCAACUUCAGCGAUCCAGAUAUUCGUUGUAUGAGCAGGCAAUAGAAGUAUGUGUUCUUUUAGUAAUGAGCUGAAACUUUAAAAACAUGCCAAUAUACAGGAAGAUGAAAUACAGUAUUAGAUGUGUCUGAGCAGGCUGGUGUUUUAUUCAUGCACACAAUUAAGACAGCCAUAAAGAGUGGAAUUGUUGACAGAGUCUUGGAAAUGGAAAGGGACUUCUAUUGCCAGUGGUUCUCAGCCAUCUCUGAACGGGACCCAAAAGUGCAGUGAGGUUUGCUUUCAGCAAGCUGUCCGUUUGGUCUCUGUCGUGGCAGUUAGCCAGGGAGAAGAGGAUCUUAGUGUCUGAGUUUGAAUGCCGGUGGCAAAUGCUGUUCAGGUAUUUGGGCUUUUAGGAACUGGAGGUUUAUGUGAGAGGAAGACAGCAAAGGCCUUCAGCUCGUGUUCUGUGGAGAGUUUGUUCAGUCUGGAAGUAAAGGUGCUGGAUAGCAGAGUUCAAAUAGCUUCCCACCCUCCCCAUCAUUUUAUAAUACCAAUUUAGCAGUCUGAAGUUUUUCCAACCCUGCCACAUCCCCGUAUCAGCUAACAGCCAGUGACAGUGCUGAUCUUCUGGAUUCUGAUCUUUUGUUUGGUCUGGAUGAAUAACUAAAUCUUCUUGCUGAGAUCACUGAAAGGGGUUGAAAUGCAGGUGCUGGGCAUACCUGGUGAUGUGUUGCUUCAUUUCCAAAUGUGAUUCAAAUAGCGAUUUUUAAAGGAUUUUUUUCCAGUCUUCAUUCCUUUCCCUAAGCCUUGCUCUUCAGAUUUUUGUUGAUUUUCAUAUUCUUCCGUUGCCUCUGCUUCAUCUUCCCUGUUGUCUCUUCUUCUCUCUUUCAGACUUGAAGUUCUUAUUUUACAAAUGGCCAAUAGUUCCAUUCCUUCUUUGUGACUGUGCUAACAUCCCCCCACUCCUGCCUUCUCAAACUUUAUCCCUAACCGUAGGCAAGCUCUAUGUUGUUGUUUUUGUUCUGAUCACUACUUAGCUCCAUUGUUCUUCAUUCACUGUUUCUAGCUGCCACUUUGAUUUCUGGCUUUAGACAGAUGUUUUCACUGCCUCAAUCAUUCCCAUGACCUCGUCUUUACUAAAUACUGUCUGCUUUAUUAUCUCUCAUUUUUAAAUUCUCUUUCUCUGAUCAGUACCUGCUCUCUUUCAGCAUAUCUGUCUUUCUGUCUCCUUUACCCUGUCACUCACUCCUUUUGGGAUCUCCAGUCUAUUAACCUUUCUGACUCUUUUACUCUUCUCAGCUGCCUCCAUCCUUCACUGGCCUUGCCUCCUUUGACUCACUGGUCUUUAUUUUCAUCUCUGUCUGCUUCUCUGUAUGUGGUUUCUUUGGUUGCUUCUCGCAGUGCCCUGUCUCUAAUACCUUCCCUAGACAUCUUUUCAUGUUAUUUCUUAAUUUCCAUUCCUCGUUUUCUGAAUAUCACUGAAGAACGUCAGCACAACAGAGCUUUGGACUCAGCUCUGCCUUACCUGUUAUAAUUCUCCUUUAACCACUUGGGUCACGUCUUUUUUCUUGGUGAGUUUGCGUCCACGUUUGCUUUUCAUGUUAGGUUUUGUUUGUUUCUUUCUUCCCCAAAUUGUUCUGCUGCCUUAGAAUCAGUUUCUGAACCAGGCCUCUGCCUCUCACCUGUAGGACUUUGUCCCUUCAAUUUCUGCAGCUCUUGUUCACUUCUUUCUCUUUUCUUGAAUGACUUUCAUAAAUGACUCCUUCACUAGCAACCACAUUUCUCUUUUACUCCCAUCUUGAAGUGUGUGGCUCCCCUCUUCUUAACUACUUCUCUGUUUAGUACUUUUUCCUUUAUACUCCAUUUAGCAUCCCCUUAUUUUAUGUACCUGAAUGUCAUCUCUGUUUUUGUUUUCAUGUUUUUUGUUUUGCUCUGUAAUUCCAGUGUCCCAAAAAUCCAGUGCCCCCUUCCCCAGUUUGGUUCUCUCAUAGUUCAAUCUCUGGAUGAUUUCUUGGCUAUUUGGCCAGUUUUUAGCCUGUUGAUUCAAAGGGCUAAUUUUUAUUCCAAACUCCCUCCAAACGUUUUCCAACAUCCCUGAUGAUGUUAGUUGCCUCUCUAUUUUCCUGGGCCAUAACCUUUCUCUCUCUGAUAUGUCUGCUGGUCAUAUGUCUCUCAAGUCAGCAAUACCAGACUGUACCCCUCUUCGCUGUCUGUGUUCUUUUAUCUUUACCACUGUAACUUCUGUGUCAUUUUUUACUUCUGUUCCUCCCUUCAAAGUAUCAAAAUCAACAAGAGUAAACAAUGGUCCUUGGCCUUUAGCUGUUUUAUGUGCUGAAGAAGGAAUCCAUGACAUUACUGACAGUUUUAUGUUUUUAAGGCAGUUCAGUUUUGCAAAUUUCAUCCUGUUUUACGACUCCAGAGCUGGAUUAGAUCCCAUUUCUCCAGGCACCUCAAAGGUUCUUGAAUUUGGUCCAUGAUUUUAUUUUCUACCACUUCAGUUGCAGGUUUUGUCUUUCAUUUCUUAACCUUAUGUAACACAUUCUUGUUCUAUUUCUGCACGUACAGCUAACAGUUAUUUUCUUGUGUUAUAGCAGCCUGAUUGCAGUGCAUUUAUCUUUUUUUAAAGUAAGAAUGUACUUCACAGCUUCACUGGCUGGGUCCGGAGUGUAUGGCAUGGUGCUCCUCUUCGAUACUGUCCCUCCCUUACUCUGGUUUGUCUUAGCUGCUGUUCUCUGUGUUGUGCCCAACUGCAGUUACACCGUGUUACACUUCAGGUUAGCGUACAUAACAUUGAGCCAACUGCAAGUAAGGUAGCUUCUGUACUUGCAGCAGUACUGCAAGUUCUUACCAGAAGCCCCACUACUUUUUGUCCUCUACGGCUGGAACAGAGCCUCUGUGCUGCACUAAUUCUGUAUCCACGUGACCCUAAUUUGGUGUCAAAUCAGAUGUGCCAGCAGUGCACUGCGUUGCUUUCUGUGCACGUAUACUGUUAGCCUUCCCAGCUGUAACAGGCUUACAGAUGUGGAAGGCUGUGUUUGCGGCGAUUCACUGAUGAUCACAUUGUCUGACCUUUCGAUUACUCCUGAUUAUUUUAUCCUUAUGCAUCUGUUCAGUUUGAGUAGCAAACAAUGUUAUUAAUUAUCCACAAAACUAAGAAGUUUUAGUGGCGGUGUUUUUUGUUAUUUCUUUGACUAUAGGGUACAGAAUUGGCUACCAGAAUUAUUACGUAUGUGUAUAUAUACACAUGCGUGUACACAAGAACUGCUCUGAAAGUAAUGCCUUCUAUUUUAUUAUGGUGGCCGACAGUGUCAGAGGUGGAUGUUGGUGGUGUGGCAGGAGAGGCUGAAACUUCCCAACAAUUUUCUGUGAUAUUUUGUUGCUGUGUGACAGAUGGCAGCAGUGAGGCAGAGUGGCGUCUGACAUGGAAGUGUGUGUGAAUCAAAGACGUGUCACUGAAUUCCUCCAUGUGGAAAAUACGGCCCCUGUUGACAUGUAUGGAUGCUUGCUGAAAAUUUAUGGAGACCAAACAGUGGAUAUGAGCGCAGUGAAAGUUGAACUGCACGGGCAGCAUUUUCCUAGCAGUGAUGCCAUCGUAGUAGCUCUAAAACAGUGGGUUACCUCAGCUGGUACAAGUUGUUAUGAGCACAGCAUGUGGCCUCUUGUUCAUUGCUGGUGAGAAUGCACAGCUAAUGGUGGUAACUGUUGAAAAACCAGUAUCUUGCAGCUGGGAAUUUAUCAAAUAGUGUUAUCGUUCUCUUUGUGUCUCUUAUUUCCAUGGAAGUAAAUAGAAGGCAUUACUUCUGGAGCAACCUAUGUAGUAUCUACUUAUUUGCACUGUAGUAAUUCUUCACUUAGAGAGGAUCAGUUCCUGGGUGGCAAAAAGCAAAUUCUUUUCUAAUGUGUUGAGUUUUUGUUUCUUUUUUUUUGUUGCCAGUUUGUGUAAUGUCAUACCAGUGGUGAAUUUGUUCUUUUGCAACUGUUUUAAUGAUGUGUGGAGGCCUUACAACUUUUUUUGUAAUAGAACUCUUCUGUUUGUGUGAAAAUAAAACAUAAGCAAUUAUGUACAUCGAGUUCUUCCUUAUAGUUUCACUGUUGGUACUUGAAGUCCAAGCAAGAGACCAGCCUCAAACUGGGCAGAAAUGGUCCUCAAAACAGUAGAGAUGAGCUGGGGUUCCCUGCUUCCUCUCCACCUCUGGCUCUUGGUUCUCUGCCUUAUCUAAGCACUUGCUGUGGGCACUACAAUGUCACCAUGUUAUGGGCUAAUGGAAACUUGGAAACUAAGUAGAAUGUUAAUACUAGUGUGCUCGUUCCUGUGGUGUCCCUUCUCAGAAUGACUACGAAAUCUUUCAUUUAAAAACGAUUAAGAAGCUCUUUGCUAUCAUUUAUUUCUCAAUAUGCAUUUGAUAUUAAAAAUGUGUGGUUACUGUUAGAAAUAUUGUAUCAUGGAAAAGCUCAUAGUAUGCCUUUAAAUGUAAUGAUGUUGGCACUUUUAUGUACAUUUGGUUGCUGGAUGAUUUUUCGGUUUCAGUCAUUGUGGACCAGUGUAAAGAUGAUAUUUGGAAAAUGAGUAUAAGAGUAAGUAAGUAUAAGCAUAUUCCAGUAUAAGAUUUUUCUGGCAGAAAUGAAAGUUUCAUUGAUUUGUUUGAAUUUGGUAGGUGAUUGUUUGAAUCUUAAAUUGUACAAGCAUUUGUAUUGGAAGAGACCUUGGGGGCGCCUCUUGUCCAGCCUCCUGCUAAGAGCAGGAUCAGUGCUGAGUUCGGAACAGGGCUCUGGGCUUCAGCCAUUAGGAUCUUGAAAACCUCCCAGCCAGUUGGACCUUGUAAAUCUCCAGGGAUGGAGAUUGCAUAGCUUCUCUGAGCUGCCUGCCAAGCCCUUAGCUAGCCUUGCCAUAAGUGUCGUUUGCCUCAGUUUCACUCACACAUCUCAGUUUCAGAUUUGGCUGUUGUUUGUUCUCAUACUAUUCUUCAAAUGUUCUUUGUACUAUAAAACAGUUAAGUCAAAUACUGAAACAAAUUAUCAGAUUUCAUUUUCUCAGAUGGUUCUUGCUAACAGAUGCGUAUGUAGUAAAUACGUAUCCUGUAUGAUAUGUACACUAUAUUCAUUUUACUAGAGUGUAAAUGAAAACUUUAGGCAGUAAAAAUUUGUAUGUUCUAUGACAUUUACUAAUUAGAUGCCAUUAAUACUUAAUUUCUGAACC
rnacentral:lncRNA from 1 species